UGCCUACGGGAGGCAGCAGUGAGGAAUAUUGGUCAAUGGCCGAGAGGCUGAACCAGCCAAGUCGCGUGAGGGAAGACGGCCCUACGGGUUGUAAACCUCUUUUGUCGGGGAGCAAAGCGAACCACGUGUGGUUCAUUGAGAGUACCCGAAGAAAAAGCAUCGGCUAACUCCGUGCCAGCAGCCGCGGUAAUACGGAGGAUGCGAGCGUUAUCCGGAUUUAUUGGGUUUAAAGGGCGAGUAGACGGCGUUGCAAGUCAGAUGUGAAAGGCUAGGGCUCAACCUUAGGAGAGCAUCUGAAACUGUAA
rnacentral:rRNA from 1 species